GNAAAGCGUGGGUAGCGAACAGGAUUAGAUACCCUGGUAGUCCACGCCGUAAACGAUGAGUGNUAGGUGUUAGGCCCUUUCCGGGGCUUAGUGCCGGAGCUAACGCAAUAAGCACUCCGCCUGGGGAGUACGACCGCAAGGUUGAAACUCAAAGGAAUUGACGGGGGCCCGCACAAGCGGUGGAGCAUGUGGUUUAAUUNGAAGCAACGCGAAGAACCAUACCAGGUCUUGACAUCCCGAUGCUAUUCUUAGAGAUAGGAAGUUACUUCGGUACAUCGGAGACAGGUGGUGCAUGGUUGUCGUCAGCUCGUGUCGUGGGAUGUUGGGUUANNNNNNNNNNNCGGGCGCAACCCUUAUUGUUAGUUGCCAUCAUUAAGUUGGGCACUCUAGCGAGACUGCCGGUAAUAAACCGGAGGAAGGUGGGGAUGACGUCAAAUCAUCAUGCCCCUUAUGACCUGGGCUACACACGUGCUACAAUGGUCGGUACAACGAGUUGCGAGCCGGUGACGGCAAGCUAAUCUCUGAAAGCCGAUCUCAGUUCGGAUUGGAGG
rnacentral:rRNA from 1 species